UCUGGUCGCUUUUGUUCCCGCAGAUUUGCGCGGAGCCUUGUUUUUGGGGGAAAGCCAGGAGCUGGGCCUUCCUGCUUUAUUCCUGAGCAGUAUCCCGGGAAGGUGGCGGCUGUCUAGAAAGAGCUUCUGGAGCGGGGCUCUGGAAACCCGCGUUCCAAUUCCCUAUCUGCCCCUGCUGAGCUGUGUGACCUUGGGCAAGUCACUUGGCCUCUCUGAGCCCUGGGCGCCUACCCGGAACAAUGAGGGUAAUAAUAACCACCACAGGGGGCUUGUGAGAAGGUGGUGAGCUCACAGAGGGCCGGCACCUGCAUUUUUUAGGCGGCCUGCCUGCCUGGGGGUGGGGUGAUGGGAGGAGUAAGUCUUCUCCAAAAACCUUGACCAGAGGAGACUAUCCGUCGCCUAUCAUCAGUCCAUCUUCUUUCAACGGGCCACCUCCUCGGCCUGUGGGACAGAGAAAAUGCAAACACAUGGGCCAAGGGUCAGAGAGAACCUGGCAGGAAGUACCAGAGGGUUGCAGCCACUGCCCCGGGAAUUUGCAUCGGCCCGUACUGUGGUUGGGGGAAGGGGAGCCCCGUGGCGUCCCACCUCUUGAUCCCACAACUUCAGGAUCCUCCACUUCUAGAAACUCAGGACCGAGCGAGGCAUGUUUCCCAGGAGCCAUCCCAGGGCUCUCGUCAGGCUGGGAGAAGAGGCAUGGAGUUAGAGCCAGGUGGCUUCCAGCAGCACAGGUGCCGUCGGGGGACUGUUGGGUGCCCCCCACAACCAGUGACUGAGUUACUCCUUGUUUUCUUGGGCCUUGUUCUUUUAUGGGAUUCCAAGGAAGUGGUCACAUUCCAAAAUCUAAGAUCUGAGUAAGCACAGGAACAACUUGUCCUCUUGACAAAGGAGGCCCCCCUGAGUGGACGCAUCUUGGACCUUCUCACUGUCGGAGGCUUCUCAAGCCCAGCCCCAGGGGCACCAUGCACACCUGGAUUCCAGUCCCAGCUCUGGCCUGGCCACUCAUUCAACCCCUCUGAGCCUCAGUUUGCUCAUCUGUGAAAGAGAGCCAGGAACCAGUGGCCAGCUGCGGCAGAAGUCAGAGUGCUGACCAGAGUCUCUGCGACCUGAGAGGGCAGAGGCCUGCCUGCAGGACCCCUGGUCCAGGUCCACCCAGCUCCCAACGCCUUCUUGUUAAUUCUUGCUGUGCAGUUUGAUAUUUAAUGUCAAACUGAGAUGAAUAGCAUCCCCCCAAAUUCCUUGUCCACCUGGAACCUGGGACCUGACCUUGUUUGGAAACAAGGUCUGUGUGAAUGUAAUUAAGGUAAGGAUCAGGAAUACAGUGGAUUAGCAAAGGCUGGAGAUUCAAAGGGACUCUUCUUACAAGAGACAGAAAAGAACCUGCAGAGAUUUAGGGGGAAGGCCACUUGAAGACAGAGGCAGAGAUUGGAGCCAAGGGGUCGUCGAUGCCCAGGCCACCGUGCACCCCAAGAGGCAGGAAGGGUCUUGCAGAACCUUCAGGGGGAACUCAGCCUGCUCACACCUUGGCUUUGGACUCCUGGCCUCCAGAGCUCUGUGGAAGGGUGAAUCCUUUAUUUUAAGCUCCCCCCCCCACUUCUUUGCGAUCUUUCUUUAGAGCACCCACAGGAAACCAAUUCAGUGUCAUAUCCCCCUAAACUUCAGUUCGGCUCCACUUAAUUCAGCUCAUAAUGGAUAUUAAAUCCUUACCCUCCAAGAUCAGACCUCUCUAUUUCAGGUUUGGGGGUCUUGGAAGGUAGGUUGCACACGGAUGGGAGAUGACCACCUCAACUCCUUGCCUGAGACCAUUCGUCCAUCAGCUUCUCCUCAGGAAAAGGGUGGAUGGCCUUGAGUCUCUGGAUGCUGGUGCCAGGUGCCAAAUGCCAGCCCUGCAGCCCAGGUCUCCAUCCCCAACAGCCCCUGCCACUGGGGCUCUGGGGCUCUCUCUCACCCAGCUCUGCACAUGCACAAGGUGACCCCUGACUGUUUCAGCAUUUCCCCACCUGCUGCCCCUUCUGCAGAAGCCACUGGCGUUGUGGAGGGCUUGGGGAUCCUGGGCUGAGACAGAGGGCCCUGGGCUCGGGCCCAGGUCAGAAGGUGUGCACACCUCCAAGCCAGUUCUGGGAAAGCAGGGCUGCAAGGAGAGGGAGGGGGCUGGGUGUGCAGAAGGGAGCACACUGCGUUGAGUUCAUUGGGCAUUCGGGCCCCAGCUGCCCUGGGCCUGACUGGGCAGGGGGCUGUGCUGACAGGACAGGAGCCCCUGUCCUCAGAGCAUGAUCUAAUCUAGGGCAGCCAGAUAUGUCUAUCUGCAUCUUUUUUAAGUGGACACGAUAUCUUCACCUUAUUUUUAUGUGGUGCUGAGGAUCGAACCCAGCGCCCCGCGCAUGCCAGGCGAGCGCACUACCGCUUGAGCCACAUCCCCAGCCCCUAUCUGCAUCUUUAGUCCUUGGCUACCUCUGGGCACAAGACUGUGGGGAGAAGGGGGAACUGUCCCUUCCAUAGGCUGGAAUGCAAUAUAACUUGCUUUAUUUUUGAGAGCAGAAGCCACAAGUUCACCCAGAUGAUUAUUUUAUAACAAAGGCAUGACACAUAUGUAUGGGGUUGCUUCUGGUAUCUGAACUGACAGUUCUUACUCUGAUGGUUGCAGGUGAUGACCAGGAGGGACUAUAAAUCAAUCAUCCUACUGUUCCAAAGUGCAGAGUCCUUCCCUGACACCAACACCUUGUUUCUCCUCUAACUGGUCAGAGUCCAGCCCAGGAGGAAACCUGGGGAGGCCCAGUGGGGACUGGGACAAGAGAGGCAGAGUUGAGAUCAGUGCCCUGUGAACAUGGUGUCCAUCAUGCUCCCUGGAGGACAUGGGGAAGCUCCCUGCACAGAUUGCUACUGAAUUUUCCUGGGGUGCAUCCUCAGGGUGUGACCCCUGGGGAUCCCUCUUUCCCACGGCCUACACCCUGCUCUGUGAUGAUUCUCGUUCCCUGCCUGGGCUCCUGGCCCCUCGUGUGGUCACCACCUUGACAUACAGCAGGUCCCGUUGCCUCCAUCCUUAUUCCCAUUUUAUGGGUGUGGAGCGGUCAAGGAAUUUGCUCAGGCCAUGCUGUCUGCUCAUGUUGGAACUGGAGCCUGACCUAGGUCAAUGAUCCACAGACUCUGUCCCUCCCGAAGGAAAUCACAAACAGGACACAUGGUUCAUUUGCUAUUUCUGCAAACUGGAGACUCCAAAGGUGUCUUAUUGGUGCCAGUUUUUCUAGCCAUGAUUAUUGACAAAGUCCACCUGCAGUCAUAAUUGGGCAAUUGUCCCCAAGUGAUGCCAAGCCCUGAUUUCCACCAGUGACAGUUUUAUCCACAGCAGUCUGGGGUGUCUAGUGUUGGGCUGGAUGCCAUUUGUCUCCAGUGGGCAUCAUCUGGGCUCUUUAAAAUCGAGAAUCCUAAGCUGAUCCCAGAGAAGGAGGGGCGCUCCCUGCAGUUCGAGCCUUGGAAUCUGCAUUUGCGCUAGCAACCUGGUGGUCCUGACACACACGUGUGACAGCAGCUCUUGGGGCAUGGCUCUGCUGCUUCCAGCCCCCUAGGCUGCUUUAAUUAACAACAGCAAUCAUGAUAGUAAUUAGAGUUUCCUGUAUACAUGGUGGGCCUGAUUACAGAUGGGGAGUGGAGGCUGAGCAAGGGUAAACCAUCAACCCGAGGCCACCAGCCGGUGGCUCUGACUUUCACCAUGGCAUGCGGCAGACCCAGCUGUGGUGGGUGCCUGUGGCUCCUCAUAUGUCCCUGCUUCUUGCACCACAGCAAAGGUGUCCUCUGACAGUCAACAGGCGAUCCACUGUGCUCCGCGUCCAGUGGUCUGUUUAACUUUCCUUUUUAUUAUAGAAAAUUCCAAACAUGCCCCAAAGGUAAGGAGCAGCAUGGUGACCCCUCACCACGGGGCAGCUUCAGCAGGGACAAGAUCGGUUUUAGAGCCCAGACCAUGCAAGGAAGCCCAGUUGGCCCAAGCCCUGCCCUGGCAGCCCUCCUAUGUCCACCGGGCGCGCUAGGGCCGCAGGUGUGAGCUCCAGCAGACCCAGAGGACAGUCCCCUCCACUGUGAUCCUGCUCCUACUUGUAUCACACAUUUUCUUUCUGAAGUAUUUUCAAGUAAAUAAGUUAGGGGUUUAAAAACCUA